AGAGUUUGAUCCUGGCUCAGGAUGAACGUUGGCGGCGUGCCUAACACAUGCAAGUCGAACGGGAUUCGUCGUUUUCGGAUGGCGAUGAGAGUGGCGAACGGGUGAGUAACGCGUAACUGAUCUGCCCUGGAGACCGGGACAACGGCUGGAAACGGCUGCUAAUACCGGAUGAAGUCGAUGUGGUUGGGUUCAUGUCGACCAAAGGUUACGGCGCUCUGGGAGGGGGUUGCGUUCCAUCAGCUAGUUGGCGGGGUAAAGGCCUGCCAAGGCGAUGACGGAUAGGGGGCCUGAGAGGGUGUUCCCCCACACUGGGACUGAGACACGGCCCAGACUUCUACGGGAGGCAGCAGUGAGGGAUAUUGCACAAUGGACGGAAGUCUGAUGCAGCGACGCCGCGUGAGCGAAGAAGGUUUUCGGAUCGUAAAGUUCUUUUCUGCGUGACGAGAUAGGACGGUAGCGCAGGAAUAAGUGUCGGCUAACUACGUGCCAGCAGCCGCGGUAAAACGUAGGACGCGAACGUUAUCCGGAGUUACUGGGCGUAAAGGGCUCGUAGGCGGCCAGCCAAGUCGGACGUGAAAUCCCUCGGCUCAACCGGGGAACUGCAUCCGAUACUGGUUGGCUUGAAGCCGGGAGAGGGAUGCGGAAUUCCAGGUGUAGCGGUGAAAUGCGUAGAUAUCUGGAGGAACACCGGUGGCGAAGGCGGCAUCCUGGACCGGUCUUGACGCUGAGGAGCGAAAGCCAGGGGAGCAAACGGGAUUAGAUACCCCGGUAGUCCUGGCCCUAAACGAUGAAUGCUUGGUGUGGCGGGUAUCGAUCCCUGCCGUGCCGGAGCUAACGCAUUAAGCAUUCCGCCUGGGGAGUACGGUCGCAAGGCUGAAACUCAAAGGAAUUGACGGGGGCCCGCACAAGCGGUGGAGCAUGUGGUUUAAUUCGACGCAACGCGAAGAACCUUACCCGGGCUUGAAGUGCGAGUGACAAUCGGCGAAAGCCGACUUCCGCAAGGACACUCGUAGAGGUGCUGCAUGGCUGUCGUCAGCUCGUG
rnacentral:rRNA from 1 species